AUACGUAGGAUGCAAGCGUUGUCCGGAAUUACUGGGCGUAAAGGGUCCGUAGGCGGUUUGUUAAGUCUCCUGAGAAAGUUCAGGGCUCAACCCUGAAAUGUCGGGGGAUACUGGCAAACUUGAGACUGUCAGAGGCAAGUGGAAUUCCCGGUGUAGUGGUGAAAUGCGUAGAUAUCGGGAGGAACACCAGUGGCGAAAGCGGCUUGCUGGGACAGUUCUGACGCUGAGGGACGAAAGCGUGGGUAGCAAACCGGAUUAGAUACCCCAGUAGUCC
rnacentral:rRNA from 1 species